UCAAACACAAAACACUAAAUAAAAUCAUAAUGACGAUUUAAUCACAACAAGCAUACAUUCCAAUAAACAUAUAUCGUUGGAUUCUUUACUAUUUUGCCCGAAAUCAGGUGUUCAUAUCAUACUCAUUCCUGUUUUACUAUAUUUAUCUUUCCUUACUAGUAUCGCUGGGGGCCCAUAGAGAUCCUCGUUAUGCUUGGGUACAUAACACUUCCUUAUAAAUCAUUGAUUGUCCCCAUACCUCGUCCGAUAAUGGGUGCCACAUACUAAAGACCAUCUCAAUACCCUGUCCAGUAUGAGCGAAAUCAAUUUAUUCCCAAUCCCAUCCGAUGUGGGACUUUCCAGCCCCACGACUG
rnacentral:lncRNA from 1 species